rnacentral:rRNA from 1 species
AGAGAGAGACAUGCGCGCAUAUCAAUAAGCGGAGGAAAAGAAACUAACAAGGAUUCCCUUAGUAACGGCGAGUGAAGCGGGAAGAGCUCAAAUUUGAAAUCUUCAAGGUUUUACCUUGACGAAUUGUAGUUUAAAGAAGUGUUUUCUGCUGAAGUUUUGGUAAAAGUUCUUUGGAAUAGGACAUCAUAGAGGGUGAGAAUCCCGUAUUUGACCAUUAUUUUCAGCUUUGUGAUACACUUUCAAAGAGUCGGAUUGUUUGGAAAUGCAGUCCAAAAUGGGUGGUAAAUUUCAUCUAAAGCUAAAUAUUGGCGAGAGACCGAUAGCGAACAAGUACCGUGAGGGAAAGAUGAAAAGAACUUUGAAAAGAGAGUUAAACAGUACGUGAAAUUGUCAAAAGGGAAGCGUUUGACACCAGUGUUGUUUUCUCGAAAAUCAAUUAAAAGUGGCUCGAUUUUGUAUUGUUGAGACCUUAAAAGCUCACUGUACAUUUUUCGUGUCUUUUUUAAUGCACUUUUCGUUUAACAAGUCAACAUCAGUUUCUUUUGUUGUAAAAGGGUCAUUGGAAGGUGGCUUUCUUUUCGGAGAAAGUGUUUAUAGCCUUUGGCCUCUGCAAUCGGAAGAGACUGAGGUCUGCAGCGUAGACUCUUCGGGGUUAGAUACAUUUGUGCUAAGUUAUAGCCUUUUCAUAGACAACUUGUUGACUAUAAUUAGUCUUGUAGCUUACUCGCUUAUGCUAUUUUACCUACGCUUAGGAUGUUGAAGAUGUAGCACAUCAU